GGGAAAAGAGGCUGGGCUAGAAAAGGGCUGGGCCAGCCUGGGGUGCUGCUGGAGCCAGCUGGGGCAGAGUCUGUUUAUUUGGUUUCUCAUUAACCAAAGGAAGUGCUUGGAUCAGAUCAGGCCUCUGCUAUUUGACUGCUUGCCCAGAGUGGGGCCCAGCCUGGGCCGAGGGUCUCUGACCAGGGCCAGCUCUCAGCAGAUUGGGGUCUCUGCCUGACCUCAGGUCAGGUGAGCCUUACCUAUGCUUCCCCAGUAGAGUGUCCCUUAGCAGUCGCCUAAUCUGGCCCAGGGUGUCAGUUGCCUUUGCCCCAGUGUGAUGGGGGUGGGCCAGGGAUGGAGGCUAGGAUCCUGGAAUUAAGAUGUGGGGAUAUAAAGAAAAAUUAGCAGGAGACCAAGGAAAGUCUGGGCAGUCUACCCAAGCCCAGAAAGCUCGUUCCCUGCCAUGAGUGCUGUGGCUGGUAACUGCUUAGUACACUGUGUGGUAUGGUAUCCUUCACCAGGACCCCACCUGGCACUCUGAGCUGCAGAAGAUGCCCUGUGAAGGUGGCAGAGCCACCAUGGGAAGUGGUCCAUGUUGUGAACUACAAGAGUGUGAGUAGGGACUGAUAAUCAGCCAGCAUUCUGCUCAUCAACCUCUGCCUACUAAAGGAGCCCUCCACUAAUGGUACCAAGGUGCCGAGUGGGUGGGUGGGGCCUGGAGGAAGAGGGCUGGAAAUGACGACUUCUACAAGGCCUUCCCAAAUGAGAAACCUGGGUCCGUUCGCUGCAACACAUAUCUGGCCUCCACCCCAGAUGUGCAGCCGUCCCAGCAGCCAGAGGCCAGCUCACCCCACCCAGAUCGCCGGCCAGCUGCAGCCCCCUGUUUCCCAGGGAAGAGAACUAAUAAAG
rnacentral:lncRNA from 1 species